rnacentral:rRNA from 2 species
GUGACAAACCGGAGGAAGGUGGGGAUGACGUCAAAUCAUCAUGCCCCUUAUGACCUGGGCUACACACGUGCUACAAUGGAUAGAACAAAGGGCAGCGAAGCCGCGAGGUGAAGCCAAUCCCAUAAAUCUAUUCUCAGUUCGGAUUGCAGGCUGCAACUCGCCUGCAUGAAGCCGGAAUCGCUAGUAAUCGCGGAUCAGCAUGCCGCGGUGAAUACGUUCCCGGGCCUUGUACACACCGCCCGUCACACCACGAGAGUUUGUAACACCCGAAGUCGGUGGGGUAACCUUUUGGAGCCAGCCGCCUAAGGUGGGACAGAUGAUUGGGGUGAAGUCGUAACAAGGUAGCCGUAUCGGAAGGUGCGGCUGGAUCACCUCCUUUCUAAGGA